GAAAGACUGGCGGAACGUGGAAGGAAUUGUGUCCGGAUACAGCACAACCGUUGAAAAACGUCUUCGAUGGCUGCUUUCAAAAUAGAGAAAUAGAGGAAUGACUAUUAAGCUCAUACGCACAGCCCACAUGUUGCGCACUCAGGGUCGAGAACAGGAAUGGUGAUCAGUCUCAAAUUCAGCUUUCUCAGGACACAUUAGAGACCUUUUCUUGAGACUCACAGGAAUGCAUGAAUCUAUGCAUAUAUUGCAUAUUGCACAUCUUUGCUCAUAUUGCAUAGUUUUUUUGUGAUUCUGGCUCAUUAUGUGAGUUACUUAUAAGUUAUGCCUACAUAGGAAGAGGACUUCAUUUGAUGAUGGGCAGCUAACAGCUGGCAUUCUCAGUUAUGAAAUAUUAUCAGGAGCAUAUUAUUCCAAAAAUUGCUAAAGAGAAAUGGAAUUGAUCUCAUGAAAAAUGAAGGUACACUGACUUUUGAUGGGAAUUUGAUGAUUGUACAACCUAUUGUUCAAUAUAUGGGUAGAAAUUAUAUACUUGUAAUAUCCACCAGUGAGGUUUAAAAUUGUCUCAAAAGAAUGUUUACUUAACAAUAACAGAGGUGUAACUCAACUCAGCUGUAUGAACAACCUUUCAUGCAGAAAAUGUAUUCUUAUAAGGUGGUGCAACAUCACAAGUAGGUAACAAAGAGCUAAGUCAGCUUAUAAGUCAGAUUGCCCAUUCUGCCAGAUCACAGCCGGGUUGCCUUAGCACUCUGUCAGAGCUUUCCUUGACAUUUUCCCUGUACUCUUUUUAUUCAUCCUGGAUGUAAAGUGAAAGUAAAGUGUCUUUUCUAAGAUAAUAUCACACCCACAACUGACCCAGAGUUCUGGGCACCUGACCACCAAACCACUGUUUCUCUCACCAAGCAUGUUUAUUAUUUUUAAUGAUUGUGAGUAGAUGAAUACUAUUUAUAAUAGUGAACUGCAGAUUAAUAACACCAUGUUUUAUUUUACCAUUAAAGAUCUAUUACAAGGAUUAAUUGAAGAAAAUAUUGAUAAAAGGGUUCUCUGGUAGAAGGGGAAUUAUAAGCUUUCUUGAGUUGGUCCACUGUUGUAAGUUAAUGGAAAUACCUGAUUUACUUAACUGUGAGCUGAGUAUGACUUUUAAAUGCAGAAACCCUAAACUUGAGAGCCCUGAAGAUAGGCUGAAGCUUUUCUCUCUCAGGAAACAUGUCAUGGUUGCUGAAUGAAUUGACACGGUUAUAUAGAUAUUCCAAAGUUAAUUGAAACAAUCAGCAAAUCAGCUGUGCUUAAUUGUUUAAGUGGGUUUUCUGAGGAAAAUGACGGACUUUCUGCUUGGUCAACUUGACCAAUAGACUGGUUUGCCAAGGGUACACCACAAACUGACUGGCUGAAUGGCAGAAACACUUUAAAACUAACUGGCUGACUGAGUGACUGGCUUACUGACUGAGUUAAAGUUUGACUGACUGGCUACGUGUCUCAGAGGCUAGGUGUUC